UUUACAAGUGACGUCACAGAGGCUGCCUCAACAGGUGCAGGACGAGAACACUGGUGAGCCACAACUCUACAACUGCUGCUGCUGCUCACCACUAUGUCCUGAUCGAUACAUUCCCACAGUGCCUAACUGGUCUCGGGUCGGCCCUGGCGGAGCAUCAACGUCGUGGGUGAACAAGUACAGCUCACAAUAUAACUUCAGGUCUUUAUAAGGGCUUUGAGUUAUCGUUUGUGUAUUGCACAAGAAUUGGAACAAUGUCCAAGUGAGAUUUACCUGUGCAAGAGAAUGGCCACAGUAAAGCAAGGACUGUUUGUAGUGGUAUGGGAGUGGGAGAACAAGCAGCGACGAUGGCGACCCUACACCCCAGAAGUCACGCAGCUACUGGAACGUGCUUACUCCAAGAACCUGCGCUCUGUUUUUCUUGGAGAUUCAGAUCCUGCUCUCAAAAACUAUUGUGUUCACCUUCCUGAAAUGGAGCAGGAAUGUAAAGCUUCAGGAGAGACUGUAAAGAUACGUCGAUUUUUUUAUGCCCAGAGUUCUCCAGCGGGCCAGGGAGCUGUGUGGCAAUGGGCAGGAGAUGUGGCGGGUGACUGGCAUGUAUAUGACAUGUGUGUGCAGUGUAUCAUCGAGGAGUCUUGGGGUUCUGGAGCCCAAAUAGUAGACUUGAGUCAUUCUUUCCGACUGUGCCCCUACGUCAUAAAUUUCUGCAACCUUACUCAAAUGAACAGCAGAACCGGUUUUAUCCGUUGCAUCAGAAGAAUCCAACAAGCAGCUUAUCCUGUUGGGAGACGACCAGUUACCCCCCAGCAGUCACAACUUGGCCCGGGACAUGUGACAGCUGAAAGUAGUAAUUCAUUCAACAACAUAAAUAGUGUACUGACGAUGCAACCUGUGGCCAGUGUGUCGGGUGCAAAGCCCAGAAGGAGAGGCAGUCGAGGAGAUGAUGCAGAUUCAUCCACAUCAGAUGCGAAGCCACGCACCUUAAUGAACAUGGUGUUUGGACGUAGUAAUGGGAACAGCAGCAAGGGAGGUACCGUGAAUCAACCACAUAAUGAUGGGGGUGAUGGACAGUUGGCAGGUGACCAUAAAACAGGGAGAGAUGAUGCAAGCCCUCCUAAACCUUUGCCUCGUAUUUUUCUUCCUCCUAAACCCAAGCCUCGAACCAAUCCACCACCAAAACAUUCACAGCUUCAGCCCACAAUUGAUCAGCCUCAAUUCUUCAAUGAGCAACAUUACAGUCAACGACAACAAUUAAUAGAUGACCAGGAAGACCCCAGAAUGUUACGAAAUGAAUCUGCAAUGGGCAGAUUUGGAUCAAACCACACUUUAGACUCUGACUGUAGUUCAAUAAACAGUGGGCGACGACCAAGUGUGGACACCACUUCCACCUAUCUCUCCUUGGAAUCUGUUACAGUUGAUGAUGAACUCAGCCAAAACUCAAGGUACCACAGUCCUGUUGAACUUGGUACGUGCAGUCCAGUUGUAGACCGACUGGUGCAAGUUGACUCGGAUGAGAAUAUGGAUGAUGAUGUCUUCAGCGAGGAUCAGGAGGUGCAGGCGGUCAUGAGAGGUGCAGGAAGUCACUCGUCUCCUUCACGAGCACCUUCUCCUCUCACUCUGUCACAUUCACACCAUCACAGUCGCCAAAUGUCCAACCACCACUCUGUGCCUUUUCUUGCUGCACAGUCACAGAGUUCCUCUCCUCAUCAGAGCCACUUCAUGCCCAUCAAUGCACCACAGCCAGGCUCAGACUUGGGUCUGCAGGUUAAUGGUAUCAAGCGGAAAUAUAAUGUUUGGAAUUCCUCGCCUGGUCACUUGCACAAGGCUUCGUCUGGAGAUGGGCAUAAUGACAAUAUAAUGCAGGACACUCAUUUUCGUAAUCAUCACUCAGAUUAUAAACCACAGCAUCGUUCCAGAGCACCAAUUGCAGCAGAGGACCAGUUACUGGUUCAGCACACCAAUGUGGUACUGUCACCCCCAGAUGAGAUGUGUUCUAUUUGCAUGAGCAGUUUACAGGAACCAUCUGGAUACUUUGAUGAUAAUGAGGCGGUUGGGGCUGCUUCACGCAUGGCAGGCCUCGGAAGCGAUGGUGUGGUGAGACUUAUUUUGUGUGAUCACCUGUUUCACUUGGCAUGUGUAAGAGAAAUGGCUAAGAACUCUCCUCAAUACCUGGAGUGCCCCAAUUGUAAGACGCUACAUGGGGAGAAGCAUGGCAAUCAGCCCAAUGGCCACAUGAACAUCAACAUUAUAUCAAGGCCCCUUCCUGGUUACCAUAAUUGCAGUACUAUACAGAUCACAUACAAUAUUAGCAGUGGUAUCCAAGGUCCCGAACAUCCAAGACCUGGCCGACCUUAUCAUGCUAUUGGUUUUCCCCGGACUGCAUAUUUACCCAAUAAUGACAAAGGCAAGAAGGUAUUGAAACUGUUGCAAGAAGCAUGGCGGCGACGUCUGGUGUUCACCAUUGGCACAUCAGUUACUUUAGGAAUACAGGAUGCAGUCACCUGGAAUGAGAUCCACCACAAAACUGAAUGGAAUAAUGCUGGUGGGCAUGGAUACCCUGAUCCAAACUACCUUGACAAUACACUAAAGGAGCUUGCUUUACAUGGAGUUACCGAAACAACGUUAGUGUAGCUGUUUACUCGUAUCAGAGAUGUAACACUUUGGUAUUUGUUGGGCAUAAAUACGUGUAAAUACAGGUGAAGGAGGCUACUCCGAGCCGGCAACCGACACUUCAUUCAGUGCUGGAGUAGAACCAGGAGGAGGGGGGUCCAUUCCCGAGCUGUCCCAGGACUCUACUGCAGAGUCUACGGAUGGUAUGGCUGGCCCAAAUCGUCCCAACCAAUCAUCUCGCCCCAGUUCGUCACUAGGAACC
rnacentral:misc_RNA from 1 species